rnacentral:rRNA from 1 species
UGGGGAAUCUUAGACAAUGGGGGCAACCCUGAUCUAGCCAUGCCGCGUGAGUGAUGAAGGCCUUAGGGUCGUAAAGCUCUUUCGCCUGUGAUGAUAAUGACAGUAGCAGGUAAAGAAACCCCGGCUAACUCCGUGCCAGCAGCCGCGGUAAUACGGAGGGGGUUAGCGUUGUUCGGAAUUACUGGGCGUAAAGCGCGCGUAGGCGGAUUAGAAAGUUGGGGGUGAAAUCCCGGGGCUCAACCUCGGAACUGCCUCCAAAACUGCUAGUCUAGAGUUCGAGAGAGGUGAGUGGAAUUCCGAGUGUAGAGGUGAAAUUCGUAGAUAUUCGGAGGAACACCAGUGGCGAAGGCGGCUCACUGGCUCGAUACUGACGCUGAGGUGCGAAAGUGUGGGGAGCAAACAGGAUUAGAUACCCUGGUAGUCCACACCGUAAACGAUGAAUGCCAGUCGUCGGGUAGUAUACUAUUCGGUGACACACCUAAC